rnacentral:rRNA from 1 species
UAAGCGGAGGAAAAGAAACUAACAAGGAUUCCCCUAGUAACGGCGAGUGAAGUGGGAAAAGCUCAACUUUGAAAUCUGGUACUUUCAGUAUCCGAAUUGUAGUCUCAAGAAGUGUUUUCUGUGCCGGUCCAUGUAUGAGUCUGUUGGAACACAGCGUCAUAGAGGGUGACAACCCCGUUCAUGACAUGGAUCCCGGUGCUUUGUGAUACACUCUCGAAGAGUCGAGUUGUUUGGGAAUGCAGCUCAAAUUGGGUGGUAAAUUCCAUCUAAAGCUAAAUAUUGGCGAGAGACCGAUAGCAAACAAGUACCGUGAGGGAAAGAUGAAAAGCACUUUGGAAAGAGAGUUAACAGUACGUGAAAUUGUUGAAAGGGAAACGAUUGAAGUCAGACGUGCGUGAUGCGGUUCAGCUUUAGUUCGCUAGAGUGUACUCCGUAUCUUUGCAGGCCAACAUCGGUUUUGUUAGUCGGAUAAAGGUUUGAGAAAUGUGGCACCUUCGGGUGUGUUAUAGUCUCAGACUGAAUACGAUUGAUGGGACCGAGGAACGCAGCGCGCCGCAAGG